rnacentral:lncRNA from 1 species
ACAAAUCAAACAAAAAAAAAUUCAAGAUUUUGUAUAUUUUUAUUCUAAUGUGUAAUAUUCAUUCAAUAAAAGAUUGGUAUUACAUCAAAUCGACUUGCUUAAAAAAAAAUAGAAAAUGCAUGACUAAUAUAUGACACUGGAUUUAUAUUCAAUAUUAUCAAUAUUAUUAACUGAAGUUGAUUGACUACCGGCUAAUUCACGCUGGUUCACAAUUUUUUAAGAACCUCUGGUUCAGAUCUUUGACAAGGGUAAGAGUGUGUGGCUUAGACCACUAGACUAAUGACAAAAUAAUCCAACGGUAGUAAAAGCAAUCGCAUUGAAGAGUUUUAGGGGAGGUUCACACGCAAAUUGAAAAAAAAAAUUAUUAUAAUAAACAACAGCGAAGA